AUUGAACGCUGGCGGCAGGCCUAACACAUGCAAGUCGAGCGGAUGAAGGGAGCUUGCUCCCUGAUUUAGCGGCGGACGGGUGAGUAAUGCCUAGGAAUCUGCCUGGUAGUGGGGGAUAACGUUCCGAAAGGAACGCUAAUACCGCAUACGUCCUACGGGAGAAAGCAGGGGACCUUAGGGCCUUGCGCUAUCAGAUGAGCCUAGGUCGGAUUAGCUAGUUGGUGAGGUAAUGGCUCACCAAGGCGACGAUCCGUAACUGGUCUGAGAGGAUGAUCAGUCACACUGGAACUGAGACACGGUCCAGACUCCUACGGGAGGCAGCAGUGGGGAAUAUUGGACAAUGGGCGAAAGCCUGAUCCAGCCAUGCCGCGUGUGUGAAGAAGGUCUUCGGAUUGUAAAGCACUUUAAGUUGGGAGGAAGGGCAGUAAGCUAAUACCUUGCUGUUUUGACGUUACCGACAGAAUAAGCACCGGCUAACUUCGUGCCAGCAGCCGCGGUAA
rnacentral:rRNA from 1 species